rnacentral:rRNA from 1 species
GACGAACGCUGGCGGCGUGCUUAACACAUGCAAGUCGAACGGAAAGGCCCUGCUUUUGUGGGGUGCUCGAGUGGCGAACGGGUGAGUAACACGUGAGUAACCUGCCCUUGACUUUGGGAUAACUUCAGGAAACUGGGGCUAAUACCGGAUAGGAGCUCCUGCUGCAUGGUGGGGGUUGGAAAGUUUCGGCGGUUGGGGUUGGACUCGCGGCUUAUCAGCUUGUUGGUGGUGUAGUGGCUUACCAAGGCUUUGACGGGUAGCCGGCCUGAGAGGGUGACCGGCCACAUUGGGACUGACAUGCGGCCAAGCCUCCUACGGGAGGCAGCAGUGAGGACGAUUGCACAAUGGGCGGAAGCCUGAUGCAGCAACGCCGCGUGCGGGAUGACGCCCUUCGGGUUGUAAACCGCUUUCGCCUGUGACGAAGCGUGAGUGACGGUAAUGGGUAAAGAAGCACCGGCUAACUACGUG